AUGUAAAAGUAUUUGAUAAAAUUUGUUAAAUCUAGUUAACUUGUAAAAUCUUCUCAACUAUUAAAAUCAUCAAAUUCCACAGAAAUUCAUGUUCCAAUAAUUAAAAAUAAAUUAUCCAAUUUCAACCAAAUUUGCCUAUUAAAACCCUAGCAUUUUCUCCAUAUUCUUUACACAAAACAUCACAAACUUUGUAAAAGAAAGUGUUUAAUUUUUUUAUAGGGAUAUUACCUAUAAUAAUUCAAAUGAUACAUAUAAUGACUAUACUAAUGCAUAAACUUUCUUAAUUACUGUACUAGAUCACAUGGGUAACCAAAAUACAAAAAAACCAGCAUUCCUUUAAGUAUUAACGAAACUGCCAUUGAAUUAAUUUAAUAAUUAAUUGACUAAUAUUUUCCAAAAAAACCAAAACCCCUUUGUCGACACUUCUUCUCCUUCGUAAUCUCAGUUCACCUUUUCUCCACAUUGAACCUCCAUCUCCGACAACCUCAUCUCAGUUGCAGUCGCCUUGCGUUUCGUUACCUCCUCUCUAAGCCGGCGUCGUCCCUGCACACGAUGAACCCUAACUCCAAUUUGGCUUCGUCACAUCCGCCUCAAAAUCAAAGAAAAUUGAAACUGUAAGUGCUAAAUAUAUUCAUUUCUUAACAUAUUUUCUUUGAUUCCAUGUUAAAUUUCAAUAAUCCUAAUUUCCAAUUUUAUUUCUGACAAAUUGAAAACUGGUUCUGUUUUUUUUUUCUUUUCAAAACCCUAAUUAUCAGAUUGAAAAUCGAUUUGUCUUUUCUAAUUUCUAAUUUCUCUGUGUAUAAUCUGGAUGAAUGAUAUUUAUUAAGUUUGUUCUUUUUUUUUUUAAGGAAUGGCCUCAUCUUCGGGUACCAAGAAGUAUCCUCCGCGGCUUUACGAGAUUGGUAAAAUGCCUAUUCAAUCUCGGAGCAUGAACCACAGUUGUUUUCUGUCCAACCUUCAAGUAAUGAAAGAGUCUGUCGGUGAAGACGUUUGGCUUGAGUUAAGAGAAUCAGCUGUAGGCAUGAUUAUCAAACUGAAGGAGUUGGAGUACACUUGGUCUGCAAAACAUGUUCAUUAUUUUCUGGUGAAUCAAUUGGCGAUUCAGUGCAGUCAUGAAGUUUGGUCUUUGAUAGAAGACCAGCCAUUGAGGUUCUCUCCGUAUGAGUUUGAAGAUAUUACAGGGUUAAAUUGUGAUCCCUUUGACACGCAAGAACAAAGGGAUGUGGCUCAUGAAGACUUUUGGGUGGAGAUGAAAGUUCCAAUUUCUGAAGGACCCAAGUUGAAUGAACUUCAAGCCCUUUUUCCGAUCAUCAGAAAUUGGCCUAGAGAGAAGCGUGUAAUGGUUGGCUUGUUGUGUCUACUAUCCAUUGGCAUAUUUGGCAUUUCAAGCAAUAGUAGAAUACCUCUGCAUUUGGCGAAAAGGGUGAUGGAUCCAGCAGCUUUCCAGCGCCAUCCAUGGGGUCGUUUAGCAUUUACCAGCCUUGUGGAUUCUAUUAAAGUGGUGACAUACGAAGAAAAGAAGAGUUACACACUACAUGGCUGUGUUCAUGCAUUGCUUAUUUGAAUAUACGAGUCUGUGCCAGGUUUAGGAGAGAUAUAUGGGCAUCAAAUAGAGGAAGCUGAGGUUCCGCUUCUAUCAUGGCAUGGUUCUCGUCAGCGUAUCAACUUCCCAAACUUCUGUGCACAGGAAAAGAAAAAAUAUCAGAAGAUUCGUGUAAGGCAUAUGAUUGUAAAGGCAAUGGAGGAUAGAUAUCCGAAAUGGGGCGAAGAUAAACCGCCUGAUGAUUUGGAUAACAUGAUAGUUGACAUCCUCAAUGAUCAGCUAAAUGACAAGUUUUGGGAUGUAGUGCCACUUACCAAGUGCCAGAAGAGAAAAACUCAAGUCAGUGCACCUAGUGUUCCCGAAAGAGUGGAUACGAGCCCCUCCACAAAACGAAGGAAGGAGAAAGAAACUGCACCAGAAAUGGAAGAAUCUCAUACUGAUAUGCCCAUCAACAACAGCAUCAUACAAAAGUUGGUUGAGGCUGUUAACAACUUGUCUGGAAGAGUAGAAACCAUGGAUGUUAGUGUAGCUGAAAGGGUUACUAAGACAUUGGAAGCUUCUGUACAAGCUCAGGUGGAAGCUAGAAUGGCUUUAUUUGAGACUGAGAUGAA